rnacentral:rRNA from 1 species
GACGAACGCUGGCGGCGUGCUUAACACAUGCAAGUCGAAAGAAGUGGCGAACGGGUGAGUAACGCGUAAUCAACCUGCCCUUCAGAGGGGGACAACAGUUGGCAACGAAUGCUAAUAACGCAUCCAGAAGGCGGGGAUGGCGUCUGAUUAGCUAGUUGGAGGGGUAAAGGACCACCAAGGCGAUGAUCAGUAGCCGGUCUGAGAGGAUGAACGGCCACAUUGGGACUGAGAAACGGCCCAGACUCCUACGGGAGGCAGCAGUGGGGAAUCUUCGGCAAUGGACGAAAGUCUGACGGAGCAAAGCCGCGUGAGUGAUGACGGCCUUCGGGUUGUAAAGCUCUGUUAAUCGGGACGCGGGACUGGAAUAGAAAGCCACGGCUAACUACGUGCCAGCAGCCGCGGUAAUUC